GCUGGCAUGUUCCUGUAGUCCUAGCUACUUGGGAGGCUGAGGCGGGAGGAUCACUUGAGCCCAGGAGUUGUGGACUGUAGUGCGCUAUGCUGCUAUGCUAAUCAGCUGGCCGGUUCGGCAUCAGUAUGGUGACCUGGGAGCAGGGGACCACCAGGUUGCCUAAGGAAGUCAGAAAUGGAGCAUGUCAAAACUCUCAUUCUGAUCAGUGGUGGGGUCAUGCCUUUGAGUGGCUACCGUACUCCAGCCUGGGCAACGUAGUGAGACCCCACCCCAU
rnacentral:SRP_RNA from 1 species